AUGCGAGGCCGAGCCUCGGGGUGCCCCUGCGUGGCCCAGCCUGGGCUCUUUAAGAAUCUCUCCUUGGCGCCGCGUGCCGGUUGCCAGGCAACCCUCCGCCCCACCCCCAAGGCCGGCAGUGGUGCCCCUUCCCCUCCCUCUCCCUGUGCUCAGCCCUGCCCAGCCUCAGCAGGUGCUCAGCGCAGAACCUGGGCGGCCUGGCUGCCCUGGGCACCUGCGCAUGGCAGCUCCAGGACCGAGGGAGGGGGGCGCCAUGGGCUGAGCCCCUCUUUGUCCCUGGCUGUGGGAGCAGGCGCCAGGCUCAGGGCAGGCCGCAGGGCUGUGGGCAGUGAGCCAACUGGGACCGCAGCGGGGAACCCAGCCCCCACCGCCCUGGCACGUGCUGGUCCCUCCGUGUGGCCCGCCCUUCCUGGACGUGGCAGGUGGCAGUGGCAGUUUGCCUUGGGACAGCUCCAUCACCGUCAGCAUGGCCUGGAAGGGUUCUUUCAGCCCCACGAUCCGUCCACGCAGUCACUCAGCCACGCCUGGCCGUGCUCGGCCCACCCACGUGCCAGAUGCUGGGGACACGCAGGGACCGCGACGGGUGCUCCUGGUGCGGCGGUGAUGUCAUCAGCCACACCCCAAUUUCAGAGAUGUCAAAGUGCGCUCACACAACUCCCAGUGGCUGGUACGUGUGUGGUUCAGGGCCACCAAGGAGAAGCCACGGGGGCAGAGGGAACAGGUGACCGCUCAGUGUCUCUCCAAAGUGCACAUCCACUCCGAUCCCCCGGCCCCCCACUUGCCGGUGUGGGGAGGUGCCGAGGUUGGGUGGGGACAUGGAGGUGGGACCCUUGUGAUGGUGUCGGGGGCUUCGUUAGGAGGGGGCAUGGCUGGAGCCACCGAGCGGGCUCUGGCCCAGCGUCCCUGACAGCAGAAGGGACUCUGCAGAUGCGGCCCCUCCGUCGCGAGCCGGUCGGCCGAGUGCAGGUCCAGCGACAGAGGACGAGGCGACUGACCUCACCAGAAAGGUGGGGUUGGGAGGCUGCUCGCAGGGCACCUGGCCGAGGCUGAGCAGCACGGGCUUAGGCCUGGAGGGUGGGCGAGCAAGGCCAAGGGGGCCCCUGGCUCCCCGCUGGCCGGCAGCCUCCCAGGCCCCAGGAGUUGCUGGCUUCAUCCCUCCCGGCCUUGCCCCUGGAGCACCUGCUAUGGGACUCCCCCCUCCCUGGGCCGGAGGCCCUGCCUGCCGCCGCUGGCCCCUGGCCUCGGGUUCCUGCCACAAACCAGUCGUCCUGGGCAUGGCCUGGGGCUGCAGGUGGGGAGCCAGAUGGGCUGGGUACUCAGUGGCGUGACUCAGUGGGACGCAGGGGGCCUCUCAGUUGGAACUCAGAGGUGGGCGUGUCGUGGUACCGUGGGUUCAGCUGCCAUUUUCCGCGCCAGCAUCCCGUCUAUCAGAGCGCCGGUUCAAGUCCCAACUUCCAACCCAGCUCCCUGCUAAUGUGCCGGGAGGGCAGCAGAUGAGGGCUCAGGUGCAUGGGGUCCCUGCCACCCGCGUGGGAGACCCAGACGGAGCUCCUGCCUCCUGGCUUUGGCCUGGCCCAGCCCUGGCUAUUACAGGCAUCUGGGGAGUGAAACAGAACAGAAGAUCUCUCUCUCUCUCUCUCUCUCUCUCUCUCUCUCUCUCUCGUUCUGCAUUUGAUAAAUUCUUUAAAGGAUGUAUUUAUUUAUUGAAAAUCAGAAUUACAGAGAGAGAAAGAGAGGCAGGGUGGGGGGAGACAGAGAGAGAGAGAGAGAGAGAGAGAGAGAGAGGUCUUCCAUCCACUGCUUCACUCCCCAGAGAGCUACAAUGGCUAGGGCUGUGCCAGGCUGGAGCCAGGAGCCAGGAGAUUCAUCCGGGUCUCCCACACAGGUGCAGGGGCCCAAGCACUUGGGCCACCUUCCACUGCUUUCCCAGGCCACAGCAGGGAGCUGGAUCGGAAGCGGAGCAGCCUGCUCACCCGCCAAGCAACACCCCAUGGGACCGUGGCACCGGAGGCACCAGCUUUCCCUGCCACACCACGAUCCUGGCCCCGGGAACAUCUUUUAUGAAAAGAAUGCAGAGUGGGAUGGGAAGCCUGGUAGGGUCUGGGUGGGGCUGGGAGCGCACCCCUCCCUGGAGUUGAUGCCAAGCUGGCCCCUGGGGAAGGCUGAGCCCAGGCCCAGGCUCUCUGAACGGCCGCCUCCAUCCUUGCCCAGCCAGCUGACCGCUGGCCACUGAUCACACAGAGGGACUAAGGCCCCUGGUGACGCCCCCAGCCCUCCCACGGGGAUGACUCUGCCCCAGCCCCGAGUCCGGUCACCGGCUUCCCUUCCCCCGGCCCCGGCAGCCCCAAGGCCACGGGCGGCACAACCUGUGCCAACAGCCGCGGAACAGCGCCGUGUCUCAAUCCCGCACCGCCGCACAGCACGUAAACCACUGCCUCCCAUGACCUCCCAGGACGGCCACGCUGAGAAAAGACUGGGGGGGCACAGGGAGGCUGGGACAGGGCUCGGGCCACCAGCAGCAGAGGGGUAAGGCGGCGAGCGGAAGAGGACCAGGGCUCCGGGAGAGUGGCUGGGCAGGUGGCUGUGGGCAUGGCUGGGGUGACCGCGACUGCCCACUGGCAGGCUGCUCUGGGGGCCAGGGAGCUGGGGCUUGGUGAGCUCAAGGCUGAGGCCACAGAUCAUCACCAAGCAACUUGUGUGUCCCUCCCGGCUGACAGUGUCCUUGUCAGGACCCGGCUGGCAGGUCAGCUUAGUCCUUCUGAGCCCACGGCACCGAGUGUUUGUUGACUGAACAAGUGAUCUUUUAACUCCCAGAGCCGGCUGCCCCUUUCCUGGAACUGGUUCUCCCCUUGUCCUCGUCCUUGUCCAAGACGCCACACGUCAGCCACCCUGAUUUCCACACGAGCCCCUGGCCGCCGUCCCCAGCUUUGACAAGAAUUCCCGACCACGCACCACAGCACCUGUAGCAGGCUCGAACAAGCUCCUCCUGCUGCCCGCCAGGCCUUUUCUCUCUGCUCCCGGGUCCCGGUCAAGCAGCCGCCUGCCCUGUGAGUGGCAGGGCCCCUAGGCCUUGUGCUGAGCUGUCGUGGUUCCAGCUUUGCCACAGCAGGGUUCCAGCAGGUCGCAACUCACCCUUGACCCGUGGUGCCCCCAACAGCGGCUGGCACAGAGCAGACCUCCGUCAGCGUUCCUUGGACCGUGUGCAGCCGCCGAGCACGGCUGAGCAGGCCAGAUGGAAUAUCACGCAGCCAUUAACCACAAUUACGGAGAUGAUGUUUUAAUAUCUCAGCUCCACUUGUCGGAGCUAUAGCCGUAGCACCCACCACAAGGCCCCGAGAGCCCGCCCUCUGCCAGCCCCCUGCUGGGCACGGGCACGGCGGGGCUGGGAAGCCACCUCGCUUCCAGGGCUUCGGCUGGACAAGGAGCGAGCCGCACACAGGUGCCGAGACGGAGCGACAACGGAGCCCCGGGCCCCGCGUCCAUCUGGGAGGGGGGAGGGAAACAUGGCCGAGCCUGGAAGGGGACAGGGAACAGAGGCUGCGGACCUGACGCCCAGGGCGGUGGCAUGGUGGCGAUGUGUUCUUCCCUCUAUUGUUGGCAUAAUGCUGUUUGGGCAAUAAAUAAAAACUGGAGGAAAAAAUAGCCGUUUGG
rnacentral:lncRNA from 1 species